ensembl:lncRNA
GCCAUCGCUGUCCUCUUUCAUCCAAUGUGUUUACUAUUGUACUAGGUGUUAUGGUUCUUUCAUAAAUGUCACCAAUGCACAGCCUCCUCCCUCCAACUCCUCCAUAGACUCUAAUGUUAAAAUGGCUCAGAAGGUUCGUUUGAAAACCAGAAGUACAGGCUGUCUUUACACUGUCACCACGUCCAUAUAAUAAACUCCACAAGCAUGAAAACUGAGAAUUAGGUAGACUGGACAUUGCUGUCGCUCACGGUGAAAGAAUUUUGUCAAUAGGACCUGUACUUUUCAUUUGGGAGCGAUUUGUUUCGACCUGACUUUUCUGUUCAUUUUAAGCAGCAAAAGUGAGGUGCAUGUCUGUGUGCGUGUGUAUGGAGCCAUUGGGUGCAGUCACUAUAGCAACCAGGCUCACACCUGCCUGCCUAAUGAGCUCUCUCUCACUCUGCCAAGAUUCAUCUUAAACACUUCUCUUUCAACCACUGCUGUGUCCACAGUGUUUGCUCUACAGCCAUCAUUUUACCCUCAAAACGAAGCCAUCGUUGUUCUCUUUCCAACAGCAUGUCUUUCAAAGCUCAGAGAUGUAAACCUUUAAAAGUGUGUGGAUCCAAGUGGAGGGAUUACACUUUAGUCAUUC